GGUAGUCCGCACGAGCGCACCCUCGCCCUUAGUUGCCAUCAUUGAGUUGGGCACUCUAGGGGGACUGCCGGUGAUAAGCCGAGAGGAAGGUGGGGAUGACGUCAAGUCCUCAUGGCCCUUACGGGCUGGGCUACACACGUGCUACAAUGGCGGUGACAGUGGGCAGCGAACCCGCAAGGGGGAGCUAAUCUCCAAAAGCCGUCUCAGUUCGGAUUGUUCUCUGCAACUCGAGAGCAUGAAGUUGGAAUCGCUAGUAAUCGCGUAACAGCAUGACGCGGUGAAUACGUUCCCGGGCCUU
rnacentral:rRNA from 1 species